GCCUCAGUGGCUCAGCCUGGUAGAGCAAUUGCCUUGUAAGCAAUAGGUCGCCGGUUCAAAUCCGGUCUGAGGCU
rnacentral:tRNA from 1 species